rnacentral:rRNA from 1 species
CCCUUAGACGUUCUGGGCCGCACGCGCGCUACACUGACGAAGGCAACGAGCUUUCCUUUACCGAAAGGUACGGGUAAUCUUUUGAAACUUCGUCGUGCUGGGGAUAGAUCCUUGCAAUUUUUGAUCUUAAACGAGGAAUGCCUAGUAAGCGCAAGUCAUCAACUUGCGUUGAUUACGUCCCCGCCCUUUGUACACACCGCCCGUCGCUACUACCGAUUGAAUGGUUUAGUGAGGCCUUCGGAUCCGCGACUCGUUUGUGGAGAAGUUGGACAAACUCAGUCAUUUAGAGGAAGUAAAAGUCGUAACA